CUUGGAACAUAGUAAGCACUCAGUAAAUACUUGUUGA
rnacentral:miRNA from 1 species